UACGGAGGGUGCAAGCGUUAAUCGGAAUUACUGGGCGUAAAGAGCGCGUAGGCGGUUGGGUAAGUCAGAUGUGAAAGCCCUGGGCUCAACCUGGGAACUGCAUUUGAUACUGUCCGACUUGAGUAUGGUAGAGGGGGGUGGAAUUCCCGGAGUAGCGGUGAAAUGCGUAGAUAUCGGGAGGAACACCAGUGGCGAAGGCGGCCCCCUGGACCAAUACUGACGCUGAGGUGCGAAAGCGUGGGGAGCAAACAGG
rnacentral:rRNA from 1 species